CACCUCUCAGAGUCGCACCUGGAAAGUUUCCGAUACUUUACCAGUUCGACUAUGGGAAGGAGAGUCAAGCGGAUGCAUAUUCAUUCCAUUUCUAGCUUGGGCAGUGGCUAGCAAGUGGAAGGCAAUCUGCUACAAGU